rnacentral:snoRNA from 1 species
AACCCAUGAUUUGGGCAUUUUGUAAGUAUCAUUUUGAAUCUUUCCCAUUUCUCACAAGAAACUUCAUCUACUCCUUGUAUGAACAUAGAAAUUUCAGAUUUUGCUUUU